CAUAGGCACGUGGAUUGAUAGAAGCUUUUGGGUCACUCAUAAGAGUCCUCAUGUAAGGAUCACAAGACAAGUAAAGAUUUUUAACCAAUACAGUAUCAUUGGAACCUUCUGGAAGCUUAAGAUUUAUAGUACUAUCAACAAUGUUGAGGUCUGAUUCUUUAGGAAAACCAGACACAUAGUGUUUCAGAAGCACUUGCUUGUUCUUUACUUGUGCCAUUUUUUGUUAUUGUGAUUGUUGAAUCUGAUUAUUCAAUUUAUAACACAAAAAUCAAAGAAAAAAUGUUGGUAUGAAAUGUGAUGAUUAUGUCAUUUGUGAUCUUAUAUAAGAGAAAGUUUAAUUUAUGGGAAUGUAAUUAUAGUCCAAUAAACACGUAAGGUAAGAUAUCAAAGUGAAACUCGCAUCCGGCCUAAUAAACUGUACACCUUCACACUAGUUAGUUAUUGUCGGAAAAAACACAGCUGUUCACACUCGUUUAUCUCAAAAACAAUAAACCUGUUCACAUUUAAGGGACAAAAAUACAAUUGGUUCCUAGAACAUUCUAUAACGAUCUUAAAUGAUAAAUAAUUAUGAAAAUAAUAUGUAUAUUUCAUGUAUUAAAAAUCAAAAUAUUUGAUUUGUUUUAAGAAUAAUUGUUUAUUUUUUAAUGAUAAAAAUUAUUCGAGGACACUCGUUAGUGAGACCAAUAUAAAAAUGGUUACUUUUUUCAAUGUUAUAAAGAUUAUACUAUAAUUUUUUAAUAUAAACUUACUACUUUAAGCAUUUUUUUAAUAGAUAGAUGAAAUGACAAAGCUAUUAUAAACUCACACACACAAGUAGAGGUAUCGGAGUUCGAACCCCGGUCAUGACAUCCGUCCUAACAAUUUUGGCAUUUUGUUAGUUGAGUUAGGACUUCUGGAUACUAUUUUAAGCAUUUUAAUCUACGUCUUAUGAACAUUCGUUAACAUUCUCCAUAAAUAUUGUGUUCUAUGAGUUGCCUAGUUUUUUUUUUUUUUUUUGGGUACAAAAUUAUGCCUAUAUCAAUUCAUCCAUUAAACAUAAAUUUCAUCCAAUCCAUUAUAUAGCUUUAAUGGAUGAAUAUUCAUCCAAUCCAUGUAUAAAAAUAUAAUUCAUCCGUCCUUAAUUAUAAGACUAUUUAUAAAAAAAAAAUGAUUGUUUUUAAAUAUAAGAUCAUCUACAAAUAUCUAGAUACAUUAAUUACUCUUUUAGUAUCAGUAAAACAUAUUUUUUUAAUUAUUCUUCUGAACUUAGCUCAGUUGGUUGGAACAAUGCAUAAAAUAUGCAAGGUCCAUGAUUCAAACUCCAACCAUUAAAAAAAAUACUUUUAAUUGCAAAGCUUUUCUUCUAUCUUUAUAUAUAUAUAUAUUAAGGACUAUAACUAUAAGUAAAAAAUCAAUCCAAAUUUAUCAGUAAAACAAAUUUCUUAGAAUAUUACUCCAUCAAUUUCUUUUCUUUUGAUGUUUUAGCUCUUGACACAAGUUUUAAGGAGUAAUUAAAGUAUAUAAACAUUUGUGUAUUUUUUACUUAAAUGUCCUUAUUUAUCAUUAAAUUCACAUGUGAUAAACCAAAGGUCACAACUACUUUAAUAGUUUACUGUGUUUUCCAACAAGGGUAAACUUGAGAAAACAAUAACAAAUUCACUAAAACAUCAAAAGUUUUGGAAUAUAGUUGAAGUUCUAAAACAUCAAAAGAAAAGGAAUGGAGGGAGUAGUAAAAAUCAAUAUUAAUUUCAUUUAUACAUAAAUGAUAAUUUAGUAAUAGUUUCACACUUUUCAGAUAAAUUUAUCAUUCUAACAACUUUUUUUGAUAAGCAUAAUUUUCGUAAAAUACUCCCACCUUAGGACACGGAGAGAGUAUAAAAAUUCAAGGGAUAUUCCAAAUGUGGCCUAUCCAAAUAUGGCCAAUCAAUCCAACUGUGGCCAAUCAAGGAUGGUUUGGAAAAGAAGAGGAGACGUAUGAGUGAUCAACAGUCGUAUGGUCAACUUAUGAGUGAAAGCAUGGUUCACAAAGGGGAUUAUUUUAGGAAAAUGCUAACGAUUGUUUUUGAAUAUUGUUUAAAAACUUCAAAUAAUAAUAUUUAUUUAAAAAAAUAAAAUUUUAUAAAAAUAUGUGUAUUUAAUAUAUUAAAAUUUAAAGUGAUUAACUUUUCUAUAAAAUAAUAUUUAAAUUUAGCAUCUUUAAACGGUGUCAAUGAGAUAUUCGCUAACCAGAUCCAUUAUUUUUUUAUGGUAGGUCCUUGUUUGCAUUGUAGCACUGUCCUUUCUCUUCCUUCUUUUGGAUACCAUUAUUAGACAGUAGGGUACAAAUUUGAGUUUUGUCAUCCACUAAACUUCCCCAUCAUGAUUAUGAAAUAUGAGGACUAUUCACUAGAAUGAUACUGCUACCAGUUAUAAAAUCCAUCAUGUGUUAACAUACAAAACGUGCUAUUUUGAACCUUGAAACACUAACACACACAAAACACACAAACACGUCUCUAACACACACAUACAUACCCUAUUAAUAGUUUGAAAAAAUAUAAGUGAUUUAAUGUGUCUAUAUGUAUCAUUGUCAUGUUGCAGACAAUGGAGUCACCUUUAAUCUAAAAUUCAGUGCAACAUAAAUUUUGAUAGAAAUUAAUAUUAAAACAUUAAAGGUUAAAUUACUUCGGAGGUUUUUAAGUUAUUUAAUUGUAAUAAAUUGGUUUUAUGUUUUUUUUCAUACCACUUAGGUCAAGUUAAUUAAUUGCAACAAAUUGUUCCUUUAAGUUUUUCCGUACAAAUUAGAUCCUUUAAGUUACUUAAUUGCAACAAUUUGAGAGAUUUCAUAUUUUAAAAAUGUAAGUUAUUCGUGGUCUAAAAAUUACACUUAAAUAACUUAAAGGAGCUAAGUGUUACAAAAAAUAAUUAAAGAACUAACUUGUUCCAAUUAAAUAACUUAAAAGACGUAAACUGUUACGAUAUGUUGUGAUUCUCUCAUUAUUGUAUUUUAUAUUGUAAUUAGAGGUGGAAAUAGGUUAGGCCGAGCUAGGCUUUGCAAGGCCUGAGCCUGGCCUGCGGCCUGUCAUAGGCUUACUUUUUAGGUCUGAGUCUGGUCUUCUGAAGGCCUGAUACGACCUGCUAGUCUGUUUAAAAGCCUAUUUUAUAUGAACAUUUUUAAAUAGACUAGCGAACUAAUAUAUCAAUUAGAUUAAACUCUCUUUUGAUAAUCAAGAUGAGUUUUUAGGAAAUUUGAUUAUAUAUUGUAUCAUAUUUCAAUUCUAGUUUAUAAUAAUACAUUUAAAUAUGCAAAAAAUUAAUGUAUACUAAUAAGCUUAAAUUACUGAAAAAGUUAACACAUUUUUAUUUUAAUUCAAAGUACAAAAUAUAAUAUAAUAAUAAAUAAUAUUAUUCAUAUUUACUUAAAUAGGCCGGCCUAAUAGGCUUUUUGAAUGGCCUGUGGCCUGGCCUUUUAAGCUAAAUAGACUUCUAAAAAAGCCUAGGCCUUCUUUGUUUAAUAAAAAAGUCUGGCCUAACCUGUUGUAGGCUAGGCCGUAGGCCCCUGUAGGCUGGCCUGACCUAUUCCCAUCCCUAAUUGUAAAUAUGUUAGGAUUAAUUAGCCUUUAUGUGUAAUUAUUUUCUUAAUUACUUUGUCUUCAAAUUGCUUGUGUUAUAGACACAUUCAGAAAAUAUACAAAGUCUAUUCAGUUUAUAUCUUCCUGAGUUUCUACAUGGGAACAAACAUUUGCAGCCCGCUCCAGCACUGAAUUUGAAUAUCGUGCUCUUGCUGAUACUACUUUUAAGAUAUUGUGGCUUCGUUGGCUUCUUGCUGAUUUAGAGACAUCACAGUCUUCACCAACUGAUCUAUAUUGUGGCAAUCGUAGUGCAAUUCAAAUUGCCCACAAUGAUGUUUUCCAUGAGCGAACAAAAUAUAUUGAAAUUGAUUGUCACUUCAUUCGUCAGCAUCUCCUUCGUGAUGAACUUCAUAUUAUCUCCAUUGGCACUCUUGACCAGCCAGCAGAUUUGUUCACAAAAGCUCAGUCUCCUGGUCGCUUCCGCACUUUAGUUUCGAAACUCAAGUUGAUUACUGCUCCACCGACUUGAGUUUGAGGGGGGAUGUUAUGAUAUGUUGUGAUUCUCUCAUUAUUGUAUUUUAUAUUGUAAUUAUGUUAGGAUUAAUUAACCUUUACGUAUAAUUAUUUUCUUAAUUACUUUGUCUUUAAAUCGUAUAAACGAUACAAAAAAAAAAACUUGAAGGAUCAGUUUGUUAUAAUUAAAUAACGUACAUAACCUCAGAUGUAAUUUAGCCAACAUUAAACUAUAGUUAAUAACUUAUUGGUCGUACUUAAAUUAAAUAAAACUGAAUUAAGUUAUCAAUAUACUAUUAGAAGAAACAAUGAAGAAGCAUAUAAUAGAGAUCUUAUUUAUCAUUAGAUGUCACUGAAGUAAGCAAUUACAGUCAACACUAUGGUGAAGGAAGAUUAACACAAAAGGCCAUACAAAGAGGGCUUGUUAUUCAACACAAAAAAAUCAAAUGAAAGCAUCUGCAUUCAUUCACGAGCAACAACAAGCACUUGUUUGCCAACAUUUUUACCACUAAAUAUGCCAACCAAAGCUGCAGGACCUUUCUCAAGACCCUCAGCUAUGUCUUCCACAUACACAACCUUCCCUUCUCUGAUAUGAGGCAGGACGAAGUCUAAGAACUUGGCAUAUAGAUGAUAGUAAUCAACUACGACAAAACCUUGCAAACGAAUCCGCUUAUAUAUGAUAUGUGCCAAAUUUGUUACACCUUCAGGUUGAGUAAGAUUGUACUGUGAGAUCAUUCCACACACAGGUAUGCGACCAUGUAGUUUCAUGUUCAAGAGUACGGCAUCAAGUGUCUUGCCUCCAACGUUCUCAAAGUAAACGUCAAUUCCUUCUGGAAAGUGCCUGAUUUCCCCAAAUUGAUAUCCACCAGUUAGUUGAGUGUCUCGUGUUACAAACGCAGUAACUAUAUUUUUUUAUGUCAAACAUAUUGAACUAAAAUUUCUCCUGCAAAACUGUUCUAAACUGACCUUUUCAAUGCUGCAUCCAGGUCUUGUUCUUCUUUGUAGUUAAUGGCUUCAUCGUAUCCAAAUUUAUUCUUCAACAGAUCCACCUGGUUCCAGAAGAUAUACAUUAAAGUAAAAGGAAGGCAGAGUAUUUUUACUUAUCAAUAGCACGAAACAAAAAUUGAUUUCCGGGGACACAUUAAUCAUAUUGUUUUCCAAGUUACAACAAAACAUCCAUAUUCCAAAAAUUAAGAGAAGUGCAACUGUGCAACUACUAUUGUUGGUUCCUGCUACAAUUCUCUUCAAUUAGGCUAACUAUGUAAACAUUUCUAGAAUUGAAAUUUUUAAUAAUUACGCAAAUUCAAGUUAUUUUUGUAAUAUUACAGUACUUGUGUACAUAGGGCACUGACCGUCAACACUGGUAAUAAUUUGAGAAAAUAAAAUAAUUGAAUCACAUGUGUCGUGUCAGUGUCAGACUUCAUACAGGACUUCGAUUAAAAGUGUGGGUGCUAUAGAAUUCAAAACAGGAAAAGUUUCAACCGCAGAAUACUCAUUUAUGCAGGUACAUGUAACAACAAUAAUUAGAUAAAUACCUUCUCUUUACUUCCAGCACUUCCAACGACAUAGCAACCAUGCAAUUUAGCGAAUUGGCCAACAAGUUGACCAACUGCUCCAGAGGCAGCUGAAACAAAAACAUUCUCUCCUUUCUUGGGAGAGCCUACUUCAAAGAAACCAGAAUAAGCAGUCAUUCCUGGCAUACCUGUUUUCAGAGAAAACACAAAAUAAGUAAAAAAGGCAUGACAGAAUGACAUAAAACUACAAAACAAACAUUCAUAAGCUUAGUUGCAUACUAUAUACUAAGAUUCAUUCUGAAAACGCAUAAUGUAUACUCAGAAAAUAAACAUAAAAUUGCACAUAAAAACUACAAACGUUGAGUAGAUUAUACACACAAAUAGCUGUAGAGCAUACAAACACAUUAAGCGAUCAGUUCCAGAUAACUAUAAGACUGGUUUAAUAUUGAAUCUCCUUGAAACCAAAGCUAAUGAACAAGAGAAGAAAAUAGAAAAAUAUAAAUUUAGGACCAAACAGCCAGACAACCAACUCUCUCACACAAUAUGUCUAUUCCUUCCAUGAUGGCUAACCCCAUUGUAACAAUACUAAACAAAGUAAACUCUCAUUCAUCCCAUGAAAACAUCAUAACUUGACGCAUUCAUAUCAUACCGACAUCAAGUGCACUCUGUGCUAGAGCCUAGAAAUCAACAUAAAAAAUUGAAAUUGUGGAUCACAUACCAAGAAUUCCUGUAUAGUAGGAAAGAGGAACAUCAGUGUGCUCAAUUUUAAAAUGUAUUUGUGCUGCAGGGAUCAAGCUGUACUCUUCCCAAUUAGUUAUCCCCCACACGAUAUCACCUUCUUUAUAAUCUUUGUGUCCAGAUUCUAGAACUUUAGACACACCAUAACCAGUUAUCGGCUGCAAUUACAAAAAUCAUCAGUAGCUGCACAAUACAACCUCAAUAUUGCAAUUAUUCUUUGAUAAGUUUCAAUCUCAAGUCACCACUUACAACCACAAAGUUUAGGAGAUUUGAAGUACAAAUAAGAUUAACCACUUCUCAGUAUUCAGCACUUCAAAUUCUCAACAAAAAUAAAAAAUCUCACCAGACAAACAAAAUUUUACAUGGAAACUUUUUCCAAAACUAAUAAUAAUAUAAAUAUACAAAGUACAAUAAUCAUAACGAACAUACAAUUUAAUGCUAAAAAUAUUUCUUUAGCCCUUAGACACAAAUUAGUCACCAAAAUUCUCUUGAAGAAUCCGAAUUUGAAUCAUGACUAGAACAAUUCUUAUUCCAACUUUACUAAUCUCCUGGCCGGAGAAUUGCGAAUUACCAGUACCCCCUUCCACCAGGACCGGAGGGUUAAAACAACAAAUUAAUCACCAAAAAUAACAAUUUGCUAAGAAAUGAAUAAUAUAAAAAUCAAAAUUGAAAACCUACUAAUAACACAAAUUGACCCAUGUAAUGAAUAGACCAAUUUACACAUAAAAACCCCUACUUUAAGGCAUAAUUUGACAAAUACUGAAAAGGGUUUCACCCAUAAACUUACAGAUUGAGGAACUUAGGCACGUGGAUUGAUAGAAGCUUUUGGGUCACUCAUAAGAGUCCUCAUUUAAGGAUCACAAGACAAGUAAAGAUUUUUAACCAAUACAGUAUCAUUGGAACCUUCUGGAAGCUUAAGAUUUAUAGUACUAUCAACAAUGUUGAGGUCUGAUUCUUUAGGAAAACCAGACACAUAAUGUUUCAGAAGCACUUGCUGGUUCUUUACUUGAGCCAUUUUUGUUACUAGAUUGAUUUUUUUU
rnacentral:lncRNA from 1 species